UAGAGUUUGAUCCUGGCUCAGAGAGAUACUGGCGGCAGGCCUAACACAUGUAAGUCGAACGGCAGCAUCAGAGGAAACUGGCUCCUUGGGUGGCGAGUGGCGGACGGGUGAGGAAUACAUCGGAAUCUGCCUAUUUGUGGGGGAUAACGUAGGGAAACUUACGCUAAUACCGCAUACGACCUAUGGGUGAAAGCGGAGGACCUUCGGGCUUCGCGCAGAUAGAUGAGCCGAUGUCGGAUUAACUAGUUGGCGGGGUAAAGGCCCACCAAGGCGACGAUCCGUAGCUGGUCUGAGAGGAUGAUCAGCCACACUGGAACUGAGACACGGUCCAUACUCCUACGGGAGGCAGCAGUGGGGAAUAUUGGACAAUGGGCGCAAGCCUGAUCCAGCCAUGCCGCGUGGGUGAAGAAGGCCUUCGGGUUGUAAAGCCCUUUUUGUUGGGAAAGAAAAACAGUCGGUUAAUACCCGAUUGUUCUGACGGUACCCACAAGAAUAAAGCACCGGCUAACUUCGUGCCAGCAGCCGCGGUAAUACGAAGAGGUGCAAGCGUUACUCGGGAAUUACUGGGCGUAAAAGCGUGCGUAGGUGGUUGUUAAAUCUGAUGUGAAAGCCCUGG
rnacentral:rRNA from 1 species